GAUGAACGCUGGCGGCGUGCCUAAUACAUGCAAGUCGAGCGAACAGACGAGGAGCUUGCUCCUCUGACGUUAGCGGCGGACGGGUGAGUAACACGUGGAUAACCUACCUAUAAGACUGGGAUAACUUCGGGAAACCGGAGCUAAUACCGGAUAAUAUAUUGAACCGCAUGGUUCAAUAGUGAAAGACGGUUUUGCUGUCACUUAUAGAUGGAUCCGCGCCGCAUUAGCUAGUUGGUAAGGUAACGGCUUACCAAGGCAACGAUGCGUAGCCGACCUGAGAGGGGGAUCGGCCACACUGGAACUGAGACACGGUCCAGACUCCUACGGGAGGCAGCAGUAGGGAAUCUUCCGCAAUGGGCGAAAGCUGGACGGAGCAACGCCGCGUGAGUGAUGAAGGUCUUCGGAUCGUAAAACUCUGUUAUUAGGGAAGAACAAAUGUGUAAGUAACUAUGCACGUCUUGACGGUACCUAAUCAGAAAGCCACGGCUAACUACGUG
rnacentral:rRNA from 1 species